rnacentral:lncRNA from 1 species
UCUACUUGAAGCCGGCGCCUUCUUCAUCACCACUUUCCUUCCCCAUAAUUUUUUGAGGGAGGAGAAAAUCUCCAUUUUGGAGCUCUCUUGGUGUGCGCGAAACAAAGGGAGUGCAUUUUCAGCGACUGCCACAUUAGCAUCGGCGCAACGUACAUGCGCUUUACGUUCAAGAAACCAGAUGCGGCCGUCAUCGGGUUUUUGGCCUCGAUCCGUCUUACUUUACCUCCGUACGCCUUCACCUCUUUUCAGAUUACUCUUAUUUCGAAUCAACGAAGUGGGGAAAGGCUGGAACCUUACCCGCGCGUAUCGCUCGUGGAAAAAGGCUCGGGUGAGCCGGUCGCUCGGGACUGGUUCAAAAGUGGGGGAAAGGCGCCUUUUUGGCCAGUUCCGGGGGCCCUUCGUAAGAGUUGGUCUCCUGUGCGGUAGAGGUGGAAAGUUUCCGCUCUGCCGAAGUUGAACGUCUUGUGCUUUCUUUUGGGUUUUCAAGAUCCGUCCACCUCGACGUGCAGGCAUUCCUGUUAACGCACGACGCGCGUCGUCGUCAUUUUUGUCGCAGGGAAAAGAGACUUGCACUGUUACGUCGACGGCCCCUUUGUCAAACACUUGACACGAAACAGGCCCCAUCCCUAGGCGUUUCUCCCGGUCAUUCGAUGGGUGCAAGCUGCAGUGACGCUGAGUGAAAAACCCCUUCAUUUGAGAUUACAGUUGUGCGUACGAAUGCAGAUCCAAGCAUACAUAUAUCCAGACAGGUGACUAAACCUCGCAGCCUUCCGUAUUCUAGCGGUUGCAAAGGUGAUCGUUCUCUCGUUUUUUCGUCGGAAACGGCGGGUUAAGCGAUCGGGGAGCAAACGCGUUGCUGCUUUCAAACCUGGAAGGGGC